AAGUCGUAACAAGGUUUCCGUAGGUGAACCUGCGGAAGGAUCAUUAAAAAAGCAUCACAUGGGGGUGAAAAGCUCCUGGGUAGGGUGGUCGGCGAAAAUACAACGCCUGAGGACCCAUUAGACGGCUAAUCUGAGGCCGCCACCACCAAAAAAUCUCCGGAAUAAAAUCCAGCCCUAAAAUAAUAAUGUUUGGGCUGGUAACGGACCAACAGGUGGCGGUCUUGUUUAUUGCCGCCACCGGCCACAUUCCAUGGCCGGUGGGUAGUCCAAAAAUGGUGGCGUGCCGAUCGCUCUAUCCGGUCGAGCGAGUAGCCCAUCGUGCUAAACUUGCAAUUCUCCUGUGUACGUUUUACUUGUUGCUUCCCUGGCCAUGCCAGGGAAGGUAAAUAGAAACUCUGCUUUCUUUGAAGUCAGUCUGAAUUUGUUUAUCCAUAAACGUUAAAACUUUCAACAACGGAUCUCUUGGUUCUC
rnacentral:misc_RNA from 1 species